ACUAUAAAAUUAUUUUCUUUCCAUUUUGCAGAAAACAGUGGUGCCUCCUGUGGAUUUCGCUGUGUGCCACACAGAUAUCACAAUACAAGAGAACAGAAAAUUCAUUUAAUGCUUCCACUAUUCCUAGAUCAGCAAUAUGCGAUGUUUUCUUCAGAGAAUGUGCAACUCUCAUACACUGUAACUAUACUUAAAAAUCCUCAAAGGAAUAUGUGAGAGAGACUUAAUCUUCUUGAAGCUUAUUAAGAGUCCUUUGUAGCAUACAGGAGGGAAAAUCCUGUAUCAUUUUUACAAGGACUAGAACUUCUCAUACUAAAUUCCCUGCUCAUUUUUAUAGAACUGUCAAGUAUAAAUUACUCAUGCUGUUUCUCCUUAAAAUUCCAUUGAGAAACUGAGGGAGCGUGGAUAGUUUCUUUUAUUUAAAGAGCCUAUUCUCUGAGUUGCUUGCUUUACAUUCCCAUAGGUAUUAAAGUACUUCCUGACCUAUUUCCUCCUUUCUAGAUUGAUGAACCCAAAAUGCAGUAUUUGGAACUCCUGUAGAGAGCCAACAUGAAUUGGGAUGUGAAUAUGGCAGGCCCUCGGUGGAAUGAAUUGCCUCCACAUAAUGAAAAAUGUAUUAGAAACGCAUUUAGCAGUCUCAUGUAACAACCUGUUCCUAGAAAGGAAAAGGCAUUGCUUAACACAAAAGCAAGGAUCAAAGCUAACGUUAUUUGCCAAGAUACCUUUCCUUUUAUUUGUGAGGUACCAUACUUUCUCAUACGUCAUGCCCUGGAAUAUACACCACCUUUAUGAAAGGCAGAAUGAAGGAAAAAACAAGAUUUUAUGGAGUUAUGGCCACACAGAACAGGCGCAGAAUCUAGUCUUCAGAUGAUUCACCCUCCCUUUCCUGCUUAAGCCGGAAUAGGAGGAGAGAGACAAGGAACAGAUAGUAGAUGGCAAAACUAUCCUAAGAAAGAUUAGGACAAUUAGUGGGACAACUAGGAGAGAUGAUCGUUUAUAUAUCUGGAGUAAAGAACAACGAGCCAUUAAGUCAACUGACUCCUUCAUUUGCCUGAAUAGUAAUGCAAUAGCUGAUGCACCUUGGUUCAAAAAUCAGCUUCCAUAUUUCCCUACAUACAUCUUCAUUUGGAAGGAUGGGGGGCAGACUUUGGUGAAAAGGUAAAUGUUGUAUGCAAGAAAACAUGGUAUUUAGAAAAAAAAUUGUAUGCAUUUUUAAGCUAAAACAUAUGAUAAAAGAUCUAGUUGUUUAACUGAUCUAAUUUUGGCUAAUAUAUGCAUAGUACUUUAUCAUCAUUAAAACUGUCAGGCUGCUUCUUUGAAAAGUUACUGCUGAAUAGGUGGAGCACUUUAUUAAACUAUAUCAAAGACCA